GAAGAGGAGCGAGGAAAAUCAAGAUGGAGACCACAGAGCAGGAUGAUCUAGAUCCAGGUGGACUGGGUCGAUUUCGUGUUGUGUAGAAGAGGAAGUUGGACCACUUGAAGCUGGAGGUGCAGACAGUCGUGAGCUGACAUGUGGUCGCUGAGAACUGAAAUUAGAUCCUGUGGACCAGCAGAAACUCCGUCUGGAUGGCUGCAGUACCGUGAGGGUGAGCAAGAGGACCAAGAAAUACAUGACGCUGUGUUCCGGCCUCCCUGGCUUUUCCACAUCAAGCAAGCUGAUUCCAAUGUGGACCCACAGUAAUCUCAUUAAAAGGCAAUUCUUUCUGCAUCAGUCACUCCCACUAGCUUGUAUAAUAUCCUCAGGGGAGCUGAAGUCCCACCAGCGUCCUCGUUUUCAUUUAUUUGAUUUAUGUCUAGUGACUUAACCUUAGACCCUGGUGUUUACUUAACUGAAAGACAUAUAAAGGGAAAAUCCAGUCAUGGUUAGUGUUCUUUUAGCUAUAGAUAGGCAGACUUAAUCCUAG
rnacentral:sRNA from 1 species